rnacentral:rRNA from 1 species
GAUUAGAGUUUGAUCCUGGCUCAGAACGAACGCUGGCGGCGUGCCUAACACAUGCAAGUCGCACGAGAAAGUCCUUCGGGAUGAGUAGAGUGGCGCACGGGUGAGUAAUGCAUGGGAACGUGCCUCUAAGAGGGGGAUAACUACGGGAAACUGUAGCUAAUACCGCAUAAUAUCGAGAGAUUAAAGGUGGCCUCUGCUUGCAAGCUACUACUUAGAGAUCGGCCCAUGUCCCAUUAGCUAGUUGGCGGGGUAACGGCCCACCAAGGCUACGAUGGGUAGCUGGUCUGAGAGGAUGAUCAGCCACACUGGAACUGAGACACGGUCCAGACUCCUACGGGAGGCAGCAGUGGGGAAUUUUGCACAAUGGGGGAAACCCUGAUGCAGCAACGCCGCGUGAGUGAUGAAGGCCUUUGGGUUGUAAAGCUCUUUCGGUUGGGGAGAAGGGUAGUAUGGCUAAUAUCCAUAUUAUUGACGGACCAAAAGAAG